rnacentral:rRNA from 1 species
AAUGGGCGCAAGCCUGAUCCAGCCAUGCCGCGUGCAGGAUGACGGUCCUAUGGAUUGUAAACUGCUUUUAUACGAGAAGAAACACUCCAACGUGUUGGAGCUUGACGGUAUCGUAAGAAUAAGGAUCGGCUAACUCCGUGCCAGCAGCCGCGGUAAUACGGAGGAUCCAAGCGUUAUCCGGAAUCAUUGGGUUUAAAGGGUCCGUAGGCGGUUUAAUAAGUCAGUGGUGAAAGCCCAUCGCUCAACGGUGGAACGGCCAUUGAUACUGUUAAACUUGAAUUAUUAGGAAGUAACUAGAAUAUGUAGUGUAGCGGUGAAAUGCUUAGAGAUUACAUGGAAUACCAAUUGCGAAGGCAGGUUACUACUAAUGGAUUGACGCUGAUGGACGAAAGCGUGGGUAGCGAACAGGAUUAGAUACCCUGGUAGUCCACGCCGUAAACGAUGGAUACUAGCUGUUGGAAGCAAUUUCAGUGGCUAAGCGAAAGUGAUAAGU